rnacentral:rRNA from 1 species
UCUCCUGCCGGCGAGUGGCGAACGGGUGAGUAAUACAUCGGAACGUGCCCUGUAGUGGGGGAUAACUAGUCGAAAGAUUAGCUAAUACCGCAUACGACCUGAGGGUGAAAGUGGGGGACCGCAAGGCCUCAUGCUAUAGGAGCGGCCGAUGUCUGAUUAGCUAGUUGGUGGGGUAAAGGCCCACCAAGGCGACGAUCAGUAGCUGGUCUGAGAGGACGAUCAGCCACACUGGGACUGAGACACGGCCCAGACUCCUACGGGAGGCAGCAGUGGGGAAUUUUGGACAAUGGGCGAAAGCCUGAUCCAGCAAUGCCGCGUGUGUGAAGAAGGCCUUCGGGUUGUAAAGCACUUUUGUCCGGAAAGAAAUGGCUCUGGUUAAUACCUGGGGUCGAUGACGGUACCGGAAGAAUAAGGACCGGCUAACUACGUGCCAGCAGCCGCGGUAAUACGUAGGGUCCAAGCGUUAAUCGGAAUUACUGGGCGUAAAGCGUGCGCAGGCGGUUGUGCAAGACCGAUGUGAAAUCCCCGAGCUUAACUUGGGAAUUGCAUUGGUGACUGCACGGCUAGAGUGUGUCAGAGGGGGGUAGAAUUCCACGUGUAGCAGUGAAAUGCGUAGAGAUGUGGAGGAAUACCGAUGGCGAAGGCAGCCCCCUGGGAUAACACUGACGCUCAUGCACGAAAGCGUGGGGAGCAAACAGGAUUAGAUACCCUGGUAGUCCACGCCCUAAACGAUGUCAACUAGKUGUUGGGGGAUUUCAUUUCCUUAGUAACGUAGCUAACGCGUGAAGUUGACCCGGCUGGGGGAGUACGGUCGCAAGAUUAAAACUCCAAAGGAAUUGGACGGGGGACACCCGUCAACAGC